AUUGAACGCUGGCGGCAUGCCUUACACAUGCAAGUCGAACGGUAACAGGUCUUCGGAUGCUGACGAGUGGCGAACGGGUGAGUAAUACAUCGGAACGUGCCUAGUAGUGGGGGAUAACUACUCGAAAGAGUGGCUAAUACCGCAUGAGAUCUACGGAUGAAAGCAGGGGAUCGCAAGACCUUGUGCCACUAGAGCGGCCGAUGGCAGAUUAGGUAGUUGGUGGGAUAAAAGCUUAGCAAGCCGACGAUCUGUAGCUGGUCUGAGAGGACGAUCAGCCACACUGGGACUGAGACACGGCCCAGACUCCUACGGGAGGCAGCAGUGGGGAAUUUUGGACAAUGGGCGAAAGCCUGAUCCAGCAAUGCCGCGUGCAGGAUGAAGGCCUUCGGGUUGUAAACUGCUUUUGUACGGAACGAAAAGCCCCGGGUUAAUACCCUGGGGUCAUGACGGUACCGUAAGAAUAAGCACCGGCUAACUACGUGCCAGCAGCCGCCGCCG
rnacentral:rRNA from 1 species